GGAGAUUCCAGAGACCCACUGAUCUGACCUUGAACUGCAGGGCGUGGAACUGCAAGAGUGGCACCAUGUUCCAACUGUUACUGUAAAGCCGUGGUGUGCAGCCACUGCUGCCAAAAAACUGUGUAUGGCAAUACUGACCGUCCCCGUGGGGGCCAGCAGAAUUCUCUGAACCACUCCAGCUGCUGCAGGGGUGACAGAGGCUAAGACCGGCUGAGGCUUAGGGGCAGCUGCUCUCAGAGCAAAGCUCACACUGAAGAAGAAGAAGAAGAAGAAGAAGAA